rnacentral:rRNA from 1 species
CUCUUCGGGGAUGAUAAACCGGCGCACGGGUGAGUAACACGUGAGUGACCUGCCUUUUAGACUGGAACAACUUACCGAAAGGUGAGCUAAUGCCGGAUGAGUUAUAUAAGUGCAUGUUUAUAUAGGAAAAGUUGGGGAGACCUGACGCUGAAAGAUGGACUCGCGUCCCAUUAGCUAGUUGGUAGGGUAAUGGCCUACCAAGGCGACGAUGGGUAGCCGGCCUGAGAGGGUGGCCGGCCACACUGGGACUGAGACACGGCCCAGACUCCUACGGGAGGCAGCAGUGGGGAAUUUUGCGCAAUGCUCGUAAGAGUGACGCAGCGACGCCGCGUGAAUGACGAAGGCCUUCGGGUCGUAAAGUUCUUUCGACAGGGAAGAAAAUGCCUAUAAGUAACUGUGUAUGUAUUGACGGUACCUGUAUAAGCAGCCCCGGCUAACUCCGUGCCAGCAGCCGCGGUAAUACGGAGGGGGCGAGCGUUGUUCGGAGUGACUGGGCGUAAAGAGCACGUAGGCGGUGUUGUAAGUCAUUAGUCAAAGACUAGAGCUCAACUUUAGUAAGGCUAGUGAUACUAUAAUACUAGAGUAUCAGAGAGGAUUGCAGAAUUCCUGGUGUAGCGGUGAAAUGCGUAGAUAUCAGGAGGAAUACCGUUAGCGAAGGCGGCAAUCUGGCUGGAAACUGACGCUGAAGUGCGAAAGCGUGGGUAGCAAACAGGAUUAGAUACCCUGGUAGUCCACGCCCGUAAACGAUGGAUGCU